rnacentral:snRNA from 1 species
UGUUCUUUUGGCAACAAUAUACUAAAGUUGGGGUGAUACAGAGAUGAAGAGCUUGACCCUUGAACAAUGAUGCCAUGCAAACUCAUGAUGUAUCCCACAUCCGA